AAACGCCAAUGUGCCCGCCAAUCUCACUCCCCUCGCCGCCUUAUACCAUCCACAUCAUGUUCUAGCAUAUUUAAAUUCAAGCACAAAAACACAAGACGAAAAAUGCUCGUCGUUUCUUGAAAAAGAUUUGACCCAAAUUCCUACCAGCUUACGCCAUAUUGGUCCGUUACCUCAUUGGGGUCAGCGAGAUGUGUGCUGGAAAAAGCUGCACAUGAACGCGCGCGUGCUACUUACCGACUGACCAGCUGACCAUCAGAGUUAAGAACAGCGUCAGAGAAAAACUCGUACGACAAGGCGGCAACUGAAAAACAAUUUUGUCUCCAAGCUCACCCUAAUUCCCCUCGAAAGAAUGGGAAUAUUGUUCCUCCUAUACGCAACACGUUUCCUCCUGUCGGAGAGCUCCUCUAUUGCCAUUGGUUGUGAAGAGGCCCAUAGCAACGUGGCGUCAUAUGAACAGUGUGCCAAACUGCAGAUGACGUCAUUCAUUAGAUGACGUCACAGAAAAAUUAAAGUGACG